UUGACCGCUACUACUUGGGUCGAGGGGAUUGUCGGGUUGGAGCGCGGCGUCCGACCCCACCUCACCCGGCCCGAUGUAGUGCAGCUCGUGGAGUGCAGCAGCAGCAGCUCCUCGCCCGUGGCCCCGUCGGUCGCUCGGCAGCCCGGCCAGC